CCAAUAGCGUAUAUUAAAGUUGUUGCAGUUAAAAAGCUCGUAGUUGAAUUUCGGGAUCAAUUUACUGGUCGUGCUAUUGUACGUACUGGCUUUAUUGAUUUCUACCUUCUGACGAACCAUGAUGCCAUUAAUUUGGUGUUAUGGGGAAUCAGGACUGUUACUUUGAAAAAAUUAGAGUGUUUAAAGCAGGCUCACGCUUGAAUACAUUAGCAUGGAAUAAUGAAAUAGGACGUUUGAUUCUAUUUUGUUGGUUUCUAGGAUCGACGUAAUGAUUAAUAGGGAUAGUUGGGGGCAUUAGUAUUCAAUUGUCAGAGGUGAAAUUCUUGGAUUUAUUGAAGACUAACUACUGCGAAAGCAUUUGCCAAGGAUGUUUUCAUUAAUCAAGAACGAAAGUUAGGGGAUCGAAGACGAUCAGAUACCGUCGUAGUCUUAACCAUAAACUAUGCCGACUAGGGAUCGGAUGAUGUUAAUUUUUUAAUGACUCAUUCGGCGCCUUACG
rnacentral:rRNA from 1 species